rnacentral:rRNA from 1 species
CAUGCAAGUCGAACGGUAACAGAAAAAGCUUGCUUUUUGCUGACGAGUGGCGAACGGGUGCGUAACGCGUAUGCAACCUACCUUUUUCUAAGGAAUAGCCCAGAGAAAUUUGGAUUAAUACCUUAUAAUAAUAUUCAUUCGCAUGUUUGAAUAUUUAAAGCUUUUGCGGAAAAAGAUGGGCAUGCGUGACAUUAGUUUGUUGGUGAGGUAACAGCUCACCAAGACUACGAUGUCUAGGGGUUCUGAGGGGAUGAUCCCCCACACUGGUACUGAGACACGGACCAGACUCCUACGGGAGGCAGCAGUGAGGAAUAUUGGUCAAUGGACGAAAGUCUGAACCAGCCAUGCCGCGUGAAGGAUGACGGCCCUACGGGUUGUAAACUUCUUUUGUAUAGGAAGAACCCCCCCUACGUGUAGAGGGCUGACGGUACUAUACGAAUAAGCACCGGCUAACUCCGUGCCAGCAGCCGCGGUAAUACGGAGGGUGCAAGCGUUAUCCGGAAUUAUUGGGUUUAAAGGGUGCGUAGGCGGAAAUUUAAGUCAGUGGUGAAAGCCUGCAGCUCAACUGUAGAAUUGCCAUUGAUACUGAAUUUCUUGAAUCUAAUUGAAGUGGGCGGAAUAUGACAUGUAGCGGUGAAAUGCUUAGAUAUGUCAUAGAACACCGAUAGCGAAGGCAGCUCACUAAGUUAGUAUUGACGCUCAUGCACGAAAGCGUGGGGAGCGAACAGGAUUAGAUACCCUGGUAGUCCACGCUGUAAACGAUGAUUACUCGCUAUUGGCGAUACACUGUCAGUGGCUAAGCGAAAGUGAUAAGUAAUCCACCUGGGGAGUACGAUCGCAAGGUUGAAACUCAAAGGAAUUGACGGGGGCCCGCACAAGCGGUGGAGCAUGUGGUUUAUUCGAUGAUACGCGAGGAACCUUACCAGGACUUAAAUGCAUAACGAUCGGUUGAGAAAUCAACUUUUCUUCGGACGG